UGCCAACCGGGUGUCUGCACUAAGCUCGGCAUGAAUAUGGUGACCUCCUGGGAGCAGGGGGCCACCAGGUUGCCUAAGGAUGAGUGAACUGGCCCAGAUCAGAAAGGGAGCAGUUCAGAACUCCCGCACCGACUGGUAGCAGGACUGUGCCUGGGCA
rnacentral:SRP_RNA from 1 species